ensembl:lncRNA KLF3-AS1 KLF3 antisense RNA 1
GCCACACGCGGAGAGCACGGAGAUUUCUGGGGCUUUGGAGGGAAUCGUGAGCGGGCGGGAGGAGGCCGGGGACCACACAGAGAAUAACUUGUCUGACUACCAGUAUUCUUGGAUGCAGAAGUGCUGAAGAUGAGCACACACACGUACGGAGAAUUUCUGGAGAAUUCAGCUGCUCAGAACAAGAACUGAGAUCCAGAGAGAUGAUGACUUUGCCCAUAGACCAAACAAAGAAAUACAUGUUUCAGUCCUGUGUCCUCCUGCUAUGUGUGUCCGGAAUUGGUGGGUUCUUGGUCUCACUGACUUCAAGAAUGAAGCUGCGGACCCUCGCGGACCGUGUGUGAAUGCCUGCUCUGUGAGCCCUCAGAAUCUACUGGCUGAAUGAGUGCGUGGAGGAAAUGUGCUCAGAGCUGCUGUGUGUCAUCCUGUGUUUGAAGUGCUCCUGCAGCUAUCAUUCAUCCAGUUAAGAAUUUGAAGAAGUGUGUGCACAAAGGCACCGGAAAAUAUGCACAUUAUGCUGGAGCAUUAGAAUGCAACAGAAAGAGCCCUGGGCUUGGAGUAUGCAGAACUGGUUCUUGUUACAACUCCUCUUACUAGUGGGCUCUGGAAGAAAACACAUUGAAUUCAUGAUCAUGGUUAACCUUUGGAGAGAGAGAGGAGACCAGGAUGAAGGAGCCAGUCGAAGAUCCUGUUCAAGUGUACACUGAGCCAGCAGGUUCACCAGAAAGCUAUUGAGCGUUUGCUGGAACACAUUAUGCAGGGUGAAUUUCUUCUGGAAUGUUGCCAAGGAUUUUUUAUGCUUCUGUGGCAGGCAUUUCUUGAACAUUGUCAUUUAGCCAAGCAAAGAAGAUUUUCUUAAAGGAUAGAAAAUGUUUAAAAAUUUUUGUUUGUUUGAAGAUAGGUUAAAUGGCUAUAUGAUCUCAGGAUAAGACAGAGAAAAUCACUUAUUUCUCUAAGUGAUCUGAUUAGGUUAGUGAUGUUUUGCCUUUAAACAGAUUCAUCAUUAUUCCUAAAGUAUUGCUGUAUUAAUACUGUCUUCUAGAAAGUAUCCACCAGUGCCUACUUUUCUUCGAUAUCAUUAGCUGUUUUUCGAAACUGAAUUUGCUCUUCAGAGAUUUCUCAUAUGUUUGCGUAUAAGGAACUACUGGUAAUAGCCAAGAAAAUUUGGAGGUGCAGAGAACAUGCUGAAACAGAAUUUUUCACUUUCAAUUCUAGAACUAUGCCAUAAAAAAAAAGGAAAAUGUAAAAAUGUCUUUAUAUUAGAGCAGAUAUUUUAAAAGUAUUGCAAAUUCAAUGAUAAAUUCUAAGGUUAAAAUUGGACACAUAAAAAAUACAAUAUAUAAAUAUCUCCCCAGAAAUUAUUAUCUAAUGAAUAGUAAAAGCUGACUACAAACCAUGUCAUUUUAACAAGGGUUUAAAUAGUACCAAGAUUCUCAUCAUAUGCUCUGGGAUACCCAGUGAUGUACAAGGGUUCUCUCUAAACAUGGGGAGGAAAAAUUUCAAAUAUAAAGAUUUGAAUCUUGUCUUUGCCAUUCACUAGCUGUGUGAUCUUGGGUAAGUUACCUGGUUUCUCUGAGCUUCAGUGUCAUCUGUAAAACAGGAAUAAUAAUACCUAGCUCAGAGGCGGGUGUGGUGGCUCACGCCUGUAAUCCCAGCACUUUGGGAGGCCAAGGCAGGUGGAUCACUAGGUCAGGAGUUUGAGACCAGCCUGGCCAAGAUGGUGAAAUCCUGUCUCUACUUAAAAAAAAAAAAAAAUAGCCAGGCAUGGUGGCAGGCACCUGUGAUCCCAGCUACUCAGGAGGCUGAGGCAGGAGAAUCGCUUGAACCCGGGAGGCGGAGGUUGCAGUCAGCUGAGAUCUCGCCACUGCACUCCAGCCUGGGCAAUAGAGUGAGACUCCGCCUCAAAUAAAUAGGUAAAUAAAUAAAUAAAUAAAUAAAAGUAAAUAAAUAAAUAAAUAAAUAAUAAUACCUAGCUUAUGGGGCUGCUGUGGGUGUUUGUAAAGUAUCUCAAUGGUGCCUACAUAUUGUAAAGGCUUAUGAAUAUAUUAGUUCCUUUCUCAACUUCCUCAAUUCAUUCCACCACUACAAGUCAAUCUAGAGAUUAAAAUAGGCAAAACUGUGAUCUACGUUAGGAUGGGGUUGUUUGAGUGGU